rnacentral:rRNA from 1 species
AUUGAACGCUGGCGGCAGGCCUAACACAUGCAAGUCGGGCGAGCGGCGGACGGGUGAGUAAUGUCUGGGGAUCUGCCUGAUGGCGGGGGAUAACUACUGGAAACGGUAGCUAAUACCGCAUACCAUCAGAUGAACCCCUAUGGGAUUAGCUAGUAGGUAAGGUAACGGCUUACCUAGGCGACGAUCCCUAGCUGGGCUGAGAGGAUGGUCAGCACCACUGGGACUGAGACAAGGCCCAGACUCCGACGGGCGGCAGCAGUGGGGAAUUUUGGAAAAUGGGGGAAACUCUGAUCCAGCCAUCCCGCAUGUAUGAUGAAGGCCUUCGGGGUGUAAUGUACUUUUGGCAGAGAAGCGGUAGCUGCAGAAUAAGCACCGGCUAACUACGUGCCAGCAGCCGCGGUAAUAC